AGACCCGAAACCCGGUGAUCUAGCCAUGGGCAGGUUGAAGGUUGGGUAACACUAACUGGAGGACCGAACCGACUAAUGUUGAAAAAUUAGCGGAUGACCUGUGGCUGGGGGUGAAAGGCCAAUCAAACCGGGAGAUAGCUGGUUCUCCCCGAAAGCUAUUUAGGUAGCGCCUCGUGAAUUCAUCUCCGGGGGUAGAGCACUGUUUCGGCUAGGGGGCCAUCCCGGCUUACCAACCCGAUGCAAACUGCGAAUACCGGAGAAUGUUAUCACGGGAGACACACGGCGGGUGCUAACGUCCGUCGUGAAGAGGGAAACAACCCAGACCGCCAGCUAAGGUCCCAAAGUCAUGGUUAAGUGGGAAACGAUGUGGGAAGGCCCAGACAGCCAGGAUGUUGGCUUAGAAGCAGCCAUCAUUUAAAGAAAGCGUAAUAGCUCACUGGUCGAGUCGGCCUGCGCGGAAGAUGUAACGGGGCUAAACCAUGCACCGAAGCUGCGGCAGCGACACUCAGGUGUUGUUGGGUAGGGGAGCGUUCUGUAAGCCUGCGAAGGUGGCCUGUGAGGGUUGCUGGAGGUAUCAGAAGUGCGAAUGCUGACAUAAGUAACGAUAA
rnacentral:rRNA from 1 species